rnacentral:piRNA from 1 species
UGAUAUGGGAAUCCUAGUGCGCU